AAAACCAAAAAGAAGGAUGGUCCCUGACUGCUCGGCCCAGCAGGAACCAAGAAGAAGGAGGAAGAGGCCGCGAAAUAAGCUCCUGCGGUCGCAGUCGUUAUGACCGCGGGAAACGCCUCUUCAACCGCGGUCGCGUGUUUCUGACCGCGACCGAGCACCUGUUUACCGUGGUCGCGUGGCUCCUGACCGCGGCAAAUGGUCGUUGAGAUCAAACCCGACCCCAAACCACCCACUUCACCUCAUUCCACCUCACCAAUCCCCACUCCACCUCAUUCAUCACUUCCCACCACCUUCAUCACCACCCAUCACCUUCCCAAACCUCUUCGAAUGAAUCCGG
rnacentral:lncRNA from 1 species